UACAGGGGGGGCAAGCGUUGUUCGGAAUUACUGGGCGUAAAGGGCUCGUAGGCGGCCAACUAAGUCAUACGUGAAAUCCCUCGGCUUAACCGGGGAACUGCGUCUGAUACUGGAUGGCUUGAGUUCGGGAGAGGGAUGCGGAAUUCCAGGUGUAGCGGUGAAAUGCGUAGAGAUCCGGAAGAACACCGGUGGCGAAGGCGGCCUGCUGGGCAGUAGCUGACGCUGAGGCGCGACAGCGUGGGGAGCAAACAGG
rnacentral:rRNA from 1 species